AUGAAAGCUGCCAGGUUACUUCUGUGGGUGUUGGCGGCUUGCAGCGCACAUGUCGUCAUCUGCAACACCUUCAUCUCGUACGGAAACGAGAUGGAUCGGUUAUCGCUGCUUGCAUUCAAGGAUGCAAUCAGUCUCGAUCCACAACAAACCUUCAUGUCCUGGAACCAUAGCACUCACUUCUGCAAUUGGGAAGGUGUCCUAUGCAGGGUCAAGGCUCCACGUCGUGUCACUUCUCUAAACCUGACAAGUCGAGGUUUGGUAGGGCACAUCUCUCCUUCACUUGGAAACCUAACAUUCAUGCGGUCUUUGGCCCUCACAGGGAACACACUCGCCGGGGAGAUCCCGCCCUUGCUUGGUCACCUGCAUCGCCUCCAAACCCUCCUCUUGAAUAGUAACACGCUACAAGGAAGGGUGCCAACUUUCGCUAACUGCUCAAAGCUCAAGGUGAUGGAUGUUUCGAAAAACAAUCUAGUAGGCCAUCUCCAUGCCAACUUGCCUCUUCACUUCAAGUGUUGCACGUUUGGUCUAAUAACCUUACUGGCACAAUCCCAGCUACUCUUGCCAAUAUCACAACAUUAA
rnacentral:rRNA from 1 species